rnacentral:rRNA from 1 species
GACGAACGCUGGCGGCGUGCUUAACACAUGCAAGUCGAACGGAAAGGCCCAGCUUGCUGGGUGCUCGAGUGGCGAACGGGUGAGUAACACGUGGGUGAUCUGCCUCUAACUUCGGGAUAAGCUUGGGAAACUGGGUCUAAUACCGGAUAGGACAAUCGUUUCGUGUCGGUUUUGGACAGUUUUUUCGGUUGGGGCUGAGCCCGCGGCCUCUCAGCUUGUUGGUGGGGUAAGGGCCUACCCAGGCGUCGACGGGUAGCCGGCCUGAGCGGGUGGCCGGCCAAAGUGGGACGGAGAUACGGCCCAGACGGCUACGGGAGGCAGCAGGGGGGAAUAUUGCACAAGGGGCGGAAGCCUGAUGCAGCGACGCGGCGUGGGGGAUGACGGCCUUCGGGGUGUAAACCGCUUUCGACAGGGACGAAGCGUUGGUGACGGUACCGGGAGAAGAAGCACCGGCUAACUACGUG